rnacentral:rRNA from 1 species
GGAAUAUUGGACAAUGGGCGAAAGCCUGAUCCAGCCAUGCCGCGUGAGUGAAGAAGGCCUUAGGGUUGUAAAGCUCUUUCACCUGCGAAGAUAAUGACGGUAGCGGGCGAAGAAGCCCCGGCUAACGCCGUGCCAGCAGCCGCGGUAAUACGGAGGGGGCUAGCGUUGUUCGGCAUUACUGGGCGUAAAGCGCGCGUAGGCGGAUGGUCAAGUCGGGGGUGAAAUCCCGGGGCUCAACCCCGGAACUGCCUCCGAUACAGGACGUCUGGAGGACGGGAGAGGCGAGUGGAAUGCCGAGUGUAGAGGUGAAAUUCGUAGAUAUUCGGCGGAACACCCGUGGCGAAGGCGGCUCGCUGGUCCGUUUCUGACGCUGAGGCGCGAAAGCGUGGGGAGCAAAC